UCGCGACGGACCGGUCCUCCCCCGCGCCUGCAGGGAUGAGCCAUGGUUCACCGCUGGCGAGGUGCCAUUGAAGAUCCCAGGGUUCCAAAAGGAUUCGAGGGAGCGCGGGCGGUGUUGUGCCUCAGUUCAUACCUUGUUGGCGAUGAUGAUUCGUGAUAGCGCCGUGCUGUUGGAUUGAUGCCGCUCGGGAAGAUUGAUCAGCCAGAAGAAUAAUAGCUUCUGACGACGAUCUGGUCAGCUAAUACAAAAGCGAGUUUUCAUCCGGCAAUUCCAUACGCUGCUGCCGGGCAGCUGCAACAAACACCUGACAGAGGCUUAUGAAUGCGCUUUUUCCCAUCUUCCUAAACCGGUAUACCCUCUAGCCGCUAACAAAAACUGUGAGGCCCAAGACCAUGUUCAAGUGGUUAGCCCGCAAUAAAGAAGAGAACAGGAGCAGUUUGCCUAAACCGCUGUCUGUUGCAUUUUAUUUCUGGAAGAUGCACAUGAAACCACAUAGGUAG